GAUGAAGAACGCAGCGAAAUGCGAUAAGUAAUGUGAAUUGCAGAAUUCAGUGAAUCAUCGAAUCUUUGAACGCACAUUGCGCCCCUUGGUAUUCCGAGGGGCAUGCCUGUUCGAGCGUCAUUAUAACCCUCAAGCUCAGCUUGGUGUUGGGGCCUGCUGCACUGGCAGCCCUUAAAAUCAGUGGCGGCGCCAUCUGGCUCUAAGCGUAGUAAUUCUUCUCGCUAUGGAGUCCUGGUGGAUGCGUGCCAUCAACCCCCAAUUUUUCUAUGGUUGACCUCGGAUCAGGUAGGGAUACCCGCUGAACUUAAGCAUAUCAAUAAGCGGAGA
rnacentral:misc_RNA from 1 species